GGGUCAGUAGUGGGUGCUCCCAGGACUGUGGUGUGGAUCAAGGUCUGGAUGACCCAAGGGCCCCAGCGCUCCAGCAGGGCUCUGGGGGCUGCUGAGGAGCCUGGUGGCAGCUCCGCAGUGGACCUGGCGCUGUGGCAGGGCAGUGGAGCGAGCCACUUCCACUUAGGGGCCUCACUCAGGGGCCUCCCCGGCACCCUCACGCUGGGCAGCCCUGAGGGACACCGCGGCCCAUGGGGACAGCAGCGGCUGCGGGCUCUGGACCCUCCUAAGAAGGCGUCGGUGCCGGCCGGGGGCUGCUGCUGCCUUGGGAUUUCUUCACUGCGAUGUCCACCCAUCUAGUGCCUGGGAUAUCGAUCUUCUUCCCAUGGGGAGGGGGACAAGUCAAAACUCCUCAAUUUAAAGAUAGGAAAGAGAAAUCGACGACUCACUGAAACUUCAUAAAGAAACGUAAAUAGCAGAAGAAAAGCAUAGGCUAAAAAAGAUGAAAGAGCACCAGUUAGAGUCGGCAUGAGACCACUUCGGACCACUUCUUUUGCCACUUUUCUAAAGUUUACCUGAAAAGACCACUUUGUCCCUUGAAAAGUCCGUGCUGACCUGUUUGUUGCAGUUUACGGGUAUACAACUUUUUUACCACUUAAAAACUGAUUUUAAAGUCCAUUUUCAAGGUUUAAGUUGAUUACUACUCAACUCAGUGUCACAGACCGGAAAACUCCCAUAUAGUUGUUCACCCCAAAGAGCUCUUUUAAUUUCUUUUUUUCCUUUUUAUUUUUCUUUUUUAAACUCCACAACUUAAAUAAAGGGGUUUUUUUGGUUUUUCUUUGGAUGUGUUGUGCUUUUCUGAGAAAGUGGACUUUGAAUUACUUUAGCACAGCGUCCUGGAAUUUUUAAGAACUCCUAAAAAACUCCUGAAAGUUUCUAGAUCCUAGGACAAAUUGUAUUUUCUGAGGAGCAGAAGCAAAUGAGCACUUUGCAGGCAGAGAAGUGUUUGCUCAUAUGGGACUCUUCUGUUCUGUCUAA